rnacentral:tRNA from 1 species
GAUCCCGUAGCUCAACUGGAUAGAGCACUCGCGUUCUAAGCGAGUGGUUGCAGGUUGAAGUCCUGCUGGGAUCGCCA